ensembl:lncRNA LINC02492 long intergenic non-protein coding RNA 2492
AGGCUACUAUUGAUCUUCUGAUCAUAUGUCAGAAGGAGGAUCAUCUGCUGUGGGUGUUCCUGAUCUUUGAGCCAUGAUAAUGUUACUGGUUGGAUGUCAGGAGCAGGCCAUGUGGAUGAUUAAAAGAUGAAUAUCAUAUACAGCAUGGAUAUGUUGGACAAAAAGAUGAUUCACAUCCCAGACAGAAUGGAGCAGCACAUUUAUUAAAAGCCAGAAGCUAGAAGACGAGGAAAGAAGAGGUGGUUAAAGAAAGAUACAGUAACAGCAGUAAUAUCUAACAGGAAGGCUACAGGGGAAAAUACAGAAAUUCCAUAAAGAACAAACACUGUAACUCAAAACCAAAGCUUUGCUAGUCACUAGUGCCCGCUACAUCCUAACAGAUGCAGCUGGAGAGCCUGGGGUGAGAACAUGAGCAGUCUAUAAUCAGAAAAUCCCUUUGGGAUAAAUUGACAAAAAUAUAAACCACUCCACAAAGGAGAAAUUGUAAAUGAGUUGUUAUGUAAAACCUCCCAGCGAAAGAAAUAGUCCAGAAAGCUUGAAGAGAAACUGAAAUUUGAAAAAUCUACCUAAAAAGGUGAUAAAGGAUUUUCAGUUUUGCAAAAAACGCAAUACAGAGUGUCUUUGGAAAGAAAGUUCUCAUAUGGAUUUAAAAUAUGAUUCAAUUUACAGAAGUCAGAGUUGUUCUUCCAGAUGGCAUGAAUCCAACAGUGAAGAAAUCAGAAUACGUUGCUUUUGUGAGGGGCAGCUGCUGAUUUUCUCUGAGCUCCGUUUCCAGCCUUCACAUGCUCUGCUAUUCAUCACAGGGUAAAUUCUGACUAUAGGAGGUACUGACAGAAGAUUAGGGAAGAACAGAGGGCUAAAUGUUUAUUGACUUCUUGAAAAAUGCUAUGUGUCUUGCCAGACUUAGCUUACAAGUUUGGUUAAAGAGAGACUGACAUGAGCAUAAAGGAAGGGACAUUGAAAGAGGCAGAGAUGAAGGAAGAAAUUGUAACUUACUCCUUUUAUCCCACCCAUCAAAGGAAAGACAAGUUGACAGGUAUCUGCAGUCUUGCCAAUUAGGCCUGCAAAGGAAACAAACAUACGUGUGUUCCAAUCGGAGAAGUCAGAAGUCACUAAUGAUGCAGAAAAGCACAUUCCAAGUUUUGGCAAUGCCAUAUAUGUUAGAAAUUAUACUACAAUGCAGUUAGAAAAUAUAUUUUUUAAAAGUCCAAAAAGAUGAAGGAACUAUUUGGGAUCAGGCUGCAAAGCUCUUUAUUAUCUUUUUGCCACUAUAUAAAUAUGGAAAUUGAAAAUAGUAUUGAUUCUGCAACAAACUGAGAAGAAACCUGGCGAUUCACAACAGAGAGCUGAGAAAUCCUAAGUCUGGAUUCCAGCUAAAUGGGAGCAGACUAAAUAGAGCGGCAGUCGGCGAACUACAUGUAGCCCAUGAACAAAAUCCGGUCCAGCACGUGUGUUUUUUUUUACGGCCCACAAAUGAGUCUGUCUUUACAGAUGAAUGUUAAAACUGGGUUGACAAGAGAGAACACUCACUUUGAACCGCAACUAAACAAAAUAUUAUCACCUUUCCCCUCAAAAAAGGUUUUUGUUCUUCUCAUUAGUAAAUUUGUAUUAUGACAAAA